rnacentral:rRNA from 1 species
ACGCCGGAUUAGCUAGUUGGUAGGGUAAUGGCCUACCAAGGCAAUGAUCCGUAGCUGGUCUGAGAGGACGGCCAGCCACACUGGGACUGAGAUACGGCCCAGACUCCUACGGGAGGCAGCAGUGGGGAAUAUUGGACAAUGGGCGAAAGCCUGAUCCAGCGAUGCCGCGUGUGCGAUGAAGGCCUGCGGGUUGUAAAGCACUUUCAGUGGGGAAGAAAUGCUCAGAGCUAAUACCUCUGAGAGUUGACGUUACCCACAGAAGAAGCACCGGCUAACUCUGUGCCAGCAGCCGCGGUAAUACAGAGGGUGCAAGCGUUAAUCGGAGUUACUGGGCAUAAAGGGCGCGUAGGCGGAUGUUUAAGUCGGAUGUGAAAUCCCUGGGCUUAACCUAGGAAUUGCAUUCGAUACUGGACGUCUAGAGUAUGGUAGAGGAAAGUGGAAUUCCCGGUGUAGUGGUAAAAUACGUAGAUAUCGGGAGGAACACCAGUGGCGAAGGCGGCUUUCUGGUCCAAUACUGACGCUGAGGCGCGAAAGCGUGGGGAUCAAACAGGAUUAGAUACCCUGGUAGUCCACGCUGUAAACGGUGAGAACUAGGUGUUUCGGCCACCAAUGGUGGUCUAAGUACCGAAGCUAAUGCGUUAAGUUCUCCGCCUGGGGAGUACGACCGCAAGGUUGAAACUUAAAAGAAUUGACGGGGGCUCGCACAAGCGGUGGAGCAUGUGGUUUAGUUCGAUGCAACGCGAAGAACCUUACCUACCUUUGAAAUCCCCGGAAUCUUCUAGAGAUAGAAGAGUGCCUUCGGGAACCGGGAGACAGGUACUGCAUGGCUGUCGUCAGCUCGUGUCGUGAGAUGUUUGGUUAAGUCCUGUAACGAGCGCAACCCUCAUCUUUAGUUGCAACCCACUUCGGUGGGGCACUCUAAGGAAACUGCCGGUGAUAAGCCGGAGGAAGGUGGGGAUGACGUCAAGUCAUCAUGGUCCUUACGGGUAGGGCCACACACGUGCUACAAUGGGAAGCACAAAGGGUUGCCAAGUCGUGAGACGGAGCUAAUCCCACAAAACUUCUCGUAGUCCGGAUUGAAGUCUGCAACUCGACUUCAUGAAGCUGGAAUCGCUAGUAAUCGCGAAUCAGAACGUCGCGGUGAAUACGUUCUCGGGCCUUGUACACACCGCCCGUCACACCAUGGAAGUGUAUUGUACCAGAAGCAGGUAGUUUAACUUGAUCAGCAAUGGUUGAGGGGACGCUUACCACGGUAUGAUCCAUGACUGGGGUGAAGUCGUAACAAGGU